AGAGUUUGAUCCGUGGCUCGAGGACGAACGCUGGCGGCGCGCCUAACACAUGCAAGUCGAACGGAGCUGAGUGGAGCUUGCUCUUCUCAGCUUAGUGGCGAACGGGUGAGUAACGCGUGAGUAACCUGCCCUGGAGUGGGGGACAACAGUUGGAAACGACUGCUAAUACCGCAUAAGCCCACGGAUCCGCAUGGAUCUGCGGGAAAAGGAUUUAUUCGCUUCAGGAUGGACUCGCGUCCAAUUAGCUAGUUGGUGAGGUAACGGCCCACCAAGGCGACGAUUGGUAGCCGGACUGAGAGGUUGAACGGCCACAUUGGGACUGAGACACGGCCCAGACUCCUACGGGAGGCAGCAGGUGGGGGAUAUUGCGCAAUGGGGAAACCCUGAUGCAGCGACGCCGCGUAGAGGAAGAAGGUUUUCGGAUUGUAAACUCCUGUCGUUAGGGACGAUAAUGACGGUACCUAACAAGAAAGCACCGGCUAACUACGUG
rnacentral:rRNA from 1 species